rnacentral:rRNA from 1 species
GUGGGGAAUUUUGCGCAAUGGGCGAAAGCCUGACGCAGCAACGCCGCGUGCGGGAUGAAGGCCCUCGGGUCGUAAACCGCUUUCAGCAGGGAAGAAUGUGACUGUACCUGCAGAAGAAGCCCCGGCUAACUACGUGCCAGCAGCCGCGGUAAUACGUAGGGGGCAAGCGUUAUCCGGAUUCAUUGGGCGUAAAGCGCGCGUAGGCGGCUUGUUAAGCGAGAUGUGAAAACCGGGGGCUUAACCCGCGGCCUGCAUCUCGAACUGGCAGGCUUGAGUUUGGUAGAGGAGUGUGGAAUUCCCAGUGUAGCGGUGAAAUGCGCAGAUAUUGGGAGGAACACCAGUGGCGAAGGCGGCACUCUGGGCCACAACUGACGCUGAGGCGCGAAAGCUAGGGGAGCGAACAGGAUUAGAAACCCUUGUAGUCC